GGUGGUGCAUGGUUGUCGUCAGCUCGUGUCGUGAGAUGUUGGGUUAAGUCCCGCAACGAGCGCAACCCUUAAGCUUAGUUGCCAUCAUUAAGUUGGGCACUCUAAGUUGACUGCCGGUGACAAACCGGAGGAAGGUGGGGAUGACGUCAAAUCAUCAUGCCCCUUAUGAUUUGGGCUACACACGUGCUACAAUGGACAAUACAAAGGGCAGCGAAACCGCGAGGUCAAGCAAAUCCCAUAAAGUUGUUCUCAGUUCGGAUUGUAGUCUGCAACUCGACUACAUGAAGCUGGAAUCGCUAGUAAUCGUAGAUCAGCAUGCUACGGUGAAUACGUUCCCGGGUCUUGUACAC
rnacentral:rRNA from 1 species